rnacentral:rRNA from 1 species
CCUACGGGAGGCAGCAGUGGGGAAUUUUCCGCAAUGGGCGAAAGCCUGACGGAGCAAUACCGCGUGAGGGAAGAAUGCCUACGGGUUGUAAACCUCUUUUAUCAGGGAGGAACAAAAUGACGUGUACCUGAUGAAUAAGCAUCGGCUAACUCUGUGCCAGCAGCCGCGGUAAGACAGAGGAUGCAAGUGUUAUCCGGAAUUACUGGCGUAAGCGUCUGUAGGUUGUUGAACAAGUCAACUGUUAAAUCUUGAAGCUCAACUUCAAAAUCGCAGUCGAAACUGUUUGACUAGAGUAUAGUAGAGGUAAAGGGAAUUUCCAGUGGAGCGGUGAAAUGCGUAGAUAUUGGAAAGAACACCGAUGGCGAAAGCACUUUACUGGGCUAUUACUGACACUCAGAGACGACAGCUAGGGGUAGCAAAUGGGAUUAGAUACCCCCAGUAGUCCUAGCCGUAAACUAUGGAUACUAGAUGUUGAACCAGAUCGACCUGUGUNGUAUAAUACUACGUACGUAGUAGUACCGUCCGUCGGUAGGUAGUAGUGUCGCGAGAGUAAGUAAGUAACGUUAAAGAAAGUAGUUACGGCGUGNGAGNGCGACGGACGACGACGAGGAGGAGGAG